CAGCGCCACAAGUGGCAAUCACGUUUAUUGGGCCUAAAGCGUCCGUAGCCGGUUUAGCAAAUCUUUUGUGAAAUCGUCAGGCUUAACUUGACGAAUUGCAGAAGACACUACUAAACUAGGGACUGGGAGGAGUCAGAAGUAUUCUGGGGGGACCGGUAAAAUGGUAUAAUCCCCAGAGGACUACCGAUGGCGAAGGCAUCUGACCAGAACAGAUCCGACGGUGAGGGACGAAAGCCAGGGGAGCAAACCGGAUUAGAUACCCCAGUAGUCC
rnacentral:rRNA from 1 species